rnacentral:rRNA from 1 species
UACGGGGGGGGCAAGCGUUGUUCGGAAUUACUGGGCGUAAAGGGCUCGUAGGCGGCCAACUAAGUCAUACGUGAAAUCCCUCGGCUUAACCGGGGAACUGCGUCUGAUACUGGAUGGCUUGAGAUUGGGAGAGGGAUGCGGAAUUCCAGGUGUAGCGGUGAAAUGCGUAGAUAUCUGGAGGAACACCGGUGGCGAAAGCGGCUUCCUGGACCAGCACCGACGUUCAGGCACGAAAGCGUGGGGAGCAAACAGG